ACUAAGAGGAACUGGACACCAGGAGCCUCAUACCAGGACUGCCCAGCCGAGCCACUCGAUUCCUGACCCACAUGGCCCUUGAGAUGACAAGUGAUUGCUGCUUAAAGUCACUGAGUUCUGGAGUAAUUUACAUCACGGCAAUAGUUCCAAUAUUCAGUAUCAGGCCUGGUCCUCCUGAUCUACUGGAGAAGAGUUGGUUAUGGCAUGGCAUCUAACAGUCAUCUCUUCUUAAUACAAAUGAUAAUAAAUUUCACUGCUAAGAAGACAAUCAUCUGAAAAAAACAGACAUUUGCUUAUGUUUUAAAGAAAGUCAUAAUAGCAAACUGGGGCUCUCUUCAACAUCUGGAUUCAUCUCAGAGCACUGGCAAUCUGUGUUUAACAGCAGUCAUGUCUUUACCAGAUGUAGAAAGAAUGUUCUCUUCUUUUGGACUUACCUAAAUAUCAUUUGGAAAUUGGAAGAAUAGGAAAGCAUAUCCUUUUUCACUAACUAUAAAAAUAAUUUGGAAGGAGAAGGAAACAAAAAAACCUUGAAGUUUUCUAUGCUGGUCUACAUGGUCUUACAAUGAAUCUCAGAGCAACAGUUUAUGACUUAAAUUAUAUGCUGUGUUCCUUAGCAUACUUUAUCUUCAAAAACUAGUAAUUCUAAAUUGUAUAAUUCUUGACUAUGAUAAAAUAGCCCAUUUCUCGACCAUGUCAUUUAUACUGGACUUUUGUUACUGAUGGGGAAAAAUCCAGAAUUUGUAAUAAUUAUGUCUUAGAUAUGCAAAUGGUUGAUUAUUUUCCUAACAAUUCCCAAAAUAUCCACAUCAUAAAGCAGAAUUAAAGAUGGUUUGCCUCUGA
rnacentral:antisense_RNA from 1 species